AUACGUAGGUGGCAAGCGUUGUCCGGAUUUAUUGGGCGUAAAGCGAGCGCAGGCGGUUUCUUAAGUCUGAUGUGAAAGCCCCCGGCUCAACCGGGGAGGGUCAUUGGAAACUGGGAGACUUGAGUGCAGAAGAGGAGAGUGGAAUUCCAUGUGUAGCGGUGAAAUGCGUAGAUAUAUGGAGGAACACCAGUGGCGAAGGCGACGCUCUGGUCGGUAACUGACGCUGAGGCUCGAAAGCGUGGGGAGCAAACAGGAGUAGAUGCCCUGGUAGUCCACGCCGUAAACGAUGAGUGCUAAGUGUUGGAGGGUUUCCGCCCUUCAGUGCUGCAGCUAACGCAUUAAGCACUCCGCCUGGGGAGUACGACCGCAAGGUUGAAACUCAAAGGAAUUGACGGGG
rnacentral:rRNA from 1 species